rnacentral:misc_RNA from 1 species
AAGUCGUAACAAGGUUUCCGUAGGUGAACCUGCGGAAGGAUCAUUAGAGAAUAAACUUGGGUGGUGGUCGACGUCGCAAGACUAGACUCUGCCUUUAUUCAUCCACACACCUGUGCACUGUAGAGCCCUUUUUGGUCUUUAUUGACCGGGGGGUUCGCCCUUUAUACAAACAUUAGUAGUCCUAAAAGUAAUGUCUUAUUAUAACCUAAUAAAACUUUCAACAACGGAUCUCUUGGCUCUC